rnacentral:lncRNA from 1 species
AAAGAAAGAAAGAAAGAAAGAAAGAAAGAAAGAGAAAGAAAUAGGAGAGUGAAUCAGAGGUGAGAUAAGGGAGGAGAGAGAUGAGAGAGAAAAGAGAGGAUCGAAAAAGAGAUAAUUGGAGGAGCGAGAGAAAUGAUAGAGAUAAAAGAGAACAUAUUAGGUGUGAGAGGAAAGGGAAGAGAGAAAAAGUGAGUUUAAAUUUAAAAACUUUA